CCCCACAGUGAGGCGCGCCUGGACUGCAUCUAGGACAGCAUUGGCCGGUGGCACGGUGGAUGGUGGUGACCUUCCGCUUCUCUCUUUUCCUUUCACUUUCUAUACUAAGCCCGGUGGUGGGGUUGGGGGUGAGGGUGUGGGGCUUGGUGGGAGUGAUGGGUGGGGAUGGGUGUGCUAGGGGCCCAGAGGGGUGGAGGGGGGCAGGGGCUGUGGGCGGGGCUCGGGUGUGUUUUGGAGGGUGGGUGGGUUGGCGGGGGCGGGGGGGGGGGUGGGUGGCGUGGGGAGAAGUCCCUGGUCCAUGGAUCCUCCUCCCAGCCCUGACCUUGGGUUAUGGGAGAGGCACCGGUGUAGCAGAAGGCCGUGGUGAGGUGCAGCCGUUCCCCUUCGUGGACCGGUGGUGGAGGCCGCGCUCAUCCUUGAAAAAGGCGAUCCAGACGUUCCUUUGCAAGGAAACAGCAUCGGGAACUCAGGACAGGGCAAGCCCCACAGUGAGGCGCGCCUGGACUGCAUCUAGGACAGCAUUGGCCGGUGGCACGGUGGAUGGUGGUGACCUUCCGCUUCUCUCUUUUCCUUUCACUUUCUAUACUAAGCCCGGUGGUGGGGUUGGGGGUGAGGGUGUGGGGCUUGGUGGGAGUGAUGGGUGGGGAUGGGUGUGCUAGGGGCCCAGAGGGGUGAGGGGGGCAGGGGCUGUGGGCGGGGCUCGGGUGUGUUUUGGAGGGUGGGUGGGUUGGCGGGGGCGGGGGGGGGGGUGGGUGGCAUGGGGAGAAGUCCCUGGUCCAUGGAUCCUCCUCCCAGCCCUGACCUUGGGUUAUGGGAGAGGCACCGGUGUAGCAGAAGGCCGUGGUGAGGUGCAGCCGUUCCCCUUCGUGGACCGGUGGUGGAGGCCGCGCUCAUCCUUGAAAAAGGCGAUCCAGACGUUCCUUUGCAAGGAAACAGCAUCGGGAACUCAGGACAGGGCAAGGUAUCUUGUGGCUUUGUUUUCGUUCCUUGCAGUUCUUCUCCUUAUCGGAGCUCUUAAGGUCAGUACUUGAAGGAGUUGGAACCUCUUCAAGUUGUGCCUUCCUUCCUUCCCCUUGUUCUCAGUCCAGUGGUGUGACCUGGGCCGAUGGAGAUUUCAGGGUGUGCCUAAGGGGCUGCCGUGUCGUCCAUUUCCACGUGCCGGGGCGGGCCUAGCAAAAGCAGGUGGGCGAGCACCCGAGGCUCGCAGCAGCCCCGCCGCGGCCCCCGUCACGCACGGGUACACGGGGCCACACGGGCACGCCCAUCCCGCACGCGCCAUGCGCACGCUGAGCAUACUGACACACAGGCCGCGCGCGCGCACACACUGGCACGGGGACGCGGACACGCACAUUCCCCGGCGGGCUCUCCAAGCGGGACACGCAGCCAAGCCCUUGGGGGUGGCGUGAGUUGGUCACCCGUGGACGGGCCUGCUCAAGCAAGGCCUGUGAACCUGGAGCCUGGCCUGUUUACCCAGAUAGAUGGGGACUCCCACAUUGGAGGAGAGUCGGUGGCCGUCCUCCGCGGAAUGGUGGCCCUGUGUGGGGCCCCGCGACUCGGAGAGGUUUGGUGGUGGCCUUGCCUAGGCCCCUGUGUGAGAGCACGGGCUGGGCUGCCUGCCAUAGGGUCGGUGCUUGUGUGAGUGCUUGGUUCCCCAUUCUG
rnacentral:lncRNA from 12 species